rnacentral:rRNA from 1 species
GGCGCACGGGUUGAGUAACGCGUGGAUAAUCUACCCUUUAGUCGGGAAUAACUUAUCGAAAGGUGAACUAAUACCGGAUGAAACUGCACAACUACUGUUGUGUAGUCAAAGAAGGCCUCUGCUUGCAAGCUUUCGCUAAAGGAUGAGUCCGCGUACCAUUAGCUAGUUGGUAGGGUAAUGGCCUACCAAGGUUAUGAUGGUUAGCUGGUCUGAGAGGAUGAUCAGCCACACUGGAACUGAAACACGGUCCAGACUCCUACGGGAGGCAGCAGUGAGGAAUAUUGCGCAAUGGGGGCAACCCUGACGCAGCAACGCCGCGUGAGUGAGGAAGGUUUUCGGAUUGUAAAGCUCUGUCGAGCGGAAAGAAAUGCAUGAUGGCUAAUAUCCAUCAUGCUUGACGGUACCGCUAGAGGAAGCACCGGCUAACUCCGUGCCAGCAGCCGCGGUAAUAC